GCUAGCAUGAUUCCGCCUUUAAUUGUUAAUUGCAUGCUAUAUGAUGUUGCUUAAAUGAACAUGUUUCCCUAAAAUAUUCCUUCAAGUGGUAUCAGAGCCUAGGUCUAGUAGUUGGUGAAUCCUUUUGGGUUUUGUAGUUCAUAGUUUGUGAUUUAAAAGUUGUAAUAUGUUACAAGCUUUAUUCUUGUUUCUUUGAAUGUAAAUUUUGUUGGAAAAUUUGCCAUCUCAAAUGUUGAAGAUGUAGUUCAUAUGAGCAUGAAUAUUGGAGCUAAAAUUUGGUGCCAUGACUUUGGGGAUUUUCGGCCAAAUCCAAAGGGUGGAUUUUUGGGUUCUUGUUUGACUUGUUAAAAGUGUUUUAAGGUGACUUUUGGAACCCUUAUGUACCCUAGUUUGGUUAGAUGUUAUUUCCCUAAAGUUUGAAUGGUUUUGGAAUGUUUUUGGGUGAAAAAUGUUCAUGGAAAAUUUUGAGUUUUUUCAUGAGUGUUCUUCAUUGUUCUUGACAUUUUUGCCAAGAACAAAAAGGUUUGUGUUUUGAUUCAAAGUUUUGGUUAAUUUCAUAAAGUCUUUGUUUUGUGUUGGUUGAUGUGAAUUUUCUAUCACCAAAACAUUUAUUUUGAAAGGUGAUAGAAAUUGUGAUGGGUGUGUAAGACUUACACACCUUACACACCACAUGCAUGGUUUUAUGAUUCACAACAACCAAAUUCCACUUGCAAGGCUUUAUGACUUAGUUGAAAAAUUUCCAAAUUUUUGUGGACUUAUCUCCACUCCCUUUCCCUCUCUAAAAACCGGCCCUCCCUCAAUGGGAGUACUUUUGGGGCUUUUAUGCAAUUACAUAAAGUUUUGAUACUUUUGUGUAUUUGCACUUUGGCCCAAAAGUUUACGUUUUUACGUUAAGGUCCAAAAACGCUAAAGGACAAAUUGUUUUGAUCCUUUAAUGAAGUUUUUGCAUUGAUUAAAUUUUGGGUUCUAUUGUAAUUAAAUGUAGUGGACUUUUGUGUCUUUAAAAAGUGACCCCAAAAGUUUUGCAACAUAGCCCAAAAGUUGAGGUUAAUUGCUUAAUGACCCAAAUAAGUUGUGGUUAUUGCAUAUUGGCCCAAAUUAAUUAGAGAACAAAAUUGUUUUGUCUCUUUAAAUGAGAAUUGGAUUUUCAUUUUGUUUAGCUCCAUUUAAAUCAAUUUUAUGGAUACAAAAACCAAAUGAAAAUGUUGCAUUCAAUUUAAUUAGUUAAAGUGUUAAUUAAUUAAAGGGUGAUUAUGAACCUAAGCCUAAAAUAAUUGAGCUAUGUGAAAGGCCGUUUCAAAUUUGUUUGAACCAUGGGAAUGUGUAGAUUAGAUUUGGGUUGUAAUUUGAUUUGAUCAAAUGUUGUAAAAGGGCUUAAGCUCUUCUUUACUUUAAAGUAAUUUG
rnacentral:lncRNA from 1 species